CGGCUCUGGGUCUGUGGGGAG
rnacentral:miRNA from 8 species